AGAAAAAAAGAAAAUAAUGGGAUGAAUGAUUUUGUUUCUCUAUACUUCCAAUAUUUAUAAAAUAUGAAGAAAUGUAAAUACAACAGAAACAACAUUCAAUUUUGAUAAGAUACUUGAUGGCACAGGCAGAGAAAUCUGUGGGUUAAUAGAACAUUUGCUUCACUCAAUUGCUAUUGUUACUUCUGUAAUUCUUACUACAGUCUUUAGUGUUAUUCAUUCAUGUAUCAGAAUCCUGUUCUAUAUUGCAUACAAUUAUAAUGUCAAGUACAGCAUAAUUUUGUGCCAACAAAAACAUUAGUAAUACAAUUGUUAUCUAUGGAAAUAAUCAACAACACUUGCCAAAGAACAUAACAGAAAUAUUUAAAAGGGAAUUUGACACAAUGGAGAUUUAGUAAUACAAUGUUAGUGUGUUCUCUGGUAGGAUAUUUAAAUUCCCUAGCAAAGUUUAUUGACCGUGUUUGUAGUAUCAUUCCUGAAUUCUCUCCUGUAAAAUUGGCUUCCCUUCUUAUUAAUAAUGUGGUCAGUAAAGCACAAAAUUCCCUUUGCACAAUUGAAAUGUUAAUGCAUUUUACUAAGCCAGUCAUUAUUGUAGCAUGUAAGGAUUAUGAAUGGAUAAGAGAACCAUUAUUUUUUUUCUUAAUGGAGACUGAAUAGUGUUUUCUAGCAUUAUGAAAGAUAACCACCAGGGAAACUGUGCUGGAUAGCACAAGACUGAACUCUCUAUGUCCAGCAAAGACAGCUUAUUGUGUGUAUAUAUCAUGAUCUUAUAUUGAAAUCUCCUGGGAUAAACUGAGGCUCUUUCCUACUUUCUCUUUUGUUCAAUUUUAUCUGUUUUUUUUGUUGACAGACACAGCAUUAGGAAUCAAAAAGUUAUUGUCAAAAGACCAUUGAGUUCAUAUGAUUUGGCUGUUUAUUGCUUUGAAUAAAAUCUUCCAUGAAUGUGAUUUCUAUAAUCAGCCAGACUCCACCUUAUUAAAAUAAUUUCUUAUUUAUGAACAUUUGUUCUUUCUCUCAGUAAUGUACCCUGUAGACUGCCCCCCUUGUUACAUCUGAAAGACAUUGGUUCCUUUGUUACAUUCUUUCCAUUCCCAGUUUCUCUUAGCUUUCCUCCAACACAAAGAUCCAUGAGAGAUGAAGGAAGAGUUUUGAUAGAGAAUUUGCAUUUAUGACUGAGUUACCAAAUUUCUCUUACUCUAUACACAUUUUUCAGUUAUGUGUCUGCUUUUGUUCCCAUCAAUAACAGAUAGUAGCUUCUGUGAUCAUGGCUGAGCAAUAUACUAAAGGGAAUAACAGAAUAUUAUUAGGAUUCCUUACAUUGUUACAUUACUUUUGUAGAAAAAAAUGGUGUUUGGUAUGUGCCUUGAUCCACAAUCUACUUACAUCUCUUUUCUUUGGCAUAUAAACUUCAUCAGGAAUGUGUCUCAUGGACUGGGCAUUGAAUCCAGUCAAAUAAUUUAAAUUACUCUCACCACGUUUGUACAACUAUUGUACCCAUGUACACUGUAGACUGCCCUCCUUGUAAAUUGAAGGAUUUCAGCUAUGUUCAUCUUUCCUUUUCUCCUCAGGAAGUAUGAAUAAAUUUUCCAAUCCAUGAACACUGUCGAGAAGGAGUGAAUGCUCCAGUUAGUCAUCAACUUUAAUUCUUCAUGUUCAAUGAGAUAGAAAUAUGUUCUGUUUAUCCUUACCAGUGACCACAUUUCUAAGGAAACAGGACACUUGCUACCCCAUUAGUAUGGGAAGUAUGAAUAAAUUUUCCAAUCCAUGNACACUAUCUACAAGGGUGAAUAUUCCAGUUAGUCACCAACUGAAACAUCUUCAUGUUCAAUGAGAUAGGAUUUACAGAGUCAUCUCCAAGAUAAAACCUAUACUAGUUGGGACAUCUAACGUAUGCUCUUCUUCAGAGUCGUUGAAAGAAUGAUGCAGUACCCUGUUUUCUGCCACAUCAGGAUAUACACAAGUCAUCACAAUUGUUAAAGAUCAAUGAGAAUCCUCUGAGGCUGCCUGACUGAAAUAAUGGAUGUUGCACUCCAAUUUAUAUAACUAAUAUGACUUUAUUAGUUGAAAUCUUGAAGCUGUGAAAGUGGCAACACACAGCCAGCAAGGAUUGGGGCAGUAUUUCUGGCAACAGUAAUUGAAGGUAACUCCUUUAGUAAUAAACAUUAACACUUUUAGAUUGUCCCAAAACACAUACUAGCUUUCAUUACAGCUCACCAAUUUCCUCUGUACCAUUGUGCUUAGAGGCUUUCUGAAAAGAAGACAGUUGUAAUCUUUGCUACUGAAUGCAUUAAGUGCUGAGAAUUCAACAUGAAGACCUCCCAUUCCUCUGAAAAUUAGUUUGGUUUUGCAUGUAGGACAAAGCUUUUCCUCCUUAAAGAAC
rnacentral:sRNA from 1 species